rnacentral:lncRNA from 1 species
AGCACCCCCCACCACCUCACCCUGAGACGCGCCCUCAAGUCUGCCCUGCGCACCGCCAUGUACAGACUCACGCACACCUUCGGCGACACGCUCAUGGAAGUUGAAUUAUCGAGCGCCCAUCGCGCCAAGGUGAAGGCCUACCUCGACCUGAGAGAAGGAUGAGUCAUUCAUCUACCAGUAUCAUUGAGUGUGUAUUCAUCUACCAGUAUCAUUGAGUGUGAAUUCAUCUACCAGUAUCAUUGAGUAAGAAUUCAUCAAGCUCCUUCAUGAUUGUUAUCAUCGCGUUCAUGUUAAUUGAUGUUGAUAAGAGUAAUGUCAUUUUAUGUAUUGUGUUCUAAUUAUUUGGUUUAAAAAGCUCUGUGUAAGAAUUGUUUUACCAUUGGCCCAUUAAAUGAUGCCACUUGUUUAUAACUUGGAUCAAAUGAAUUUCUGUAUAUUUAUUAAAUUACUAAUACAAUAAAGCUUUGGCUGUAACAGAUUAUACAUUUCAAGGCCUGAUUAUUAAUUAACGUUUAUUAUUUAGUAAAACAUUUUUGUUAUCACUUAUCAUUAGUGUAUAUCCUAACGCAUUUUGGCGUUUACAGUUUCCUGAUAUUUGAUGGAAUUUUCUAAUAGUUUAUUGUAGCAAAACAUUCACCUCUUUCUGGUAGCUGUAUUUGCAGCCAAAAUAUUCAUUUAAACUAAACGAGAUCCUGGCAAGGAAAGUGAGGGGAAAAUGUCCCUGGAGAUUCUCUGUUAUGUUGCAAGCACUCCAUCAUCAGCAUCAAUUCAUCUCAUCAUUUGUAUUUUCUUUAGUUGCUCGCUUAGUUCGGUCGCUUAUUUUCACCCGUUGGUGAACCGUGGCGCCCAGUUGAACUUAUUUCUUCUAGUUUCACCCAUUGAUGUCCACACUGAACCGUGGCGCCUGGUUGAAUUUAAGUUUGUAAAGCUCUAGUGACUGCACAUGUAGCCAAAAAUUGUGCUUCAUAGCACGGCUAUUAAGAUAAAAUAUUUUCUUGUACAUUUAUGACCCUCUUUUUAUGAUUUGCAUUUUUUCGAAGAAGGAAACUGCGCUCCUAAGAACGUAAGUCAAAUAACUUAGUUUUCUACGCGCAGCUGUAAGAAUUGAAUAGAAAGCUCCGCGCCAAUUAAUUGUUCAUUAAUAAAACUAAAUGAACUUGUGUGUUAUUCAAAAGUGUAUCAAUAUUUUAUAGGCUGUCAUGUCUACUCCUUGACGUUAUUAAACUGAUGCCUUGUAAGAGCCUUGGCUGUACAGCGCGGUCUCUAGAUAUGAGUAAACGAUAUCUUAUCU